rnacentral:rRNA from 1 species
AUUGAACGCUGGCGGCAGGCCUAACACAUGCAAGUCGAGCGGAUGAAGGGAUCUUGCUCCUGGAUUCAGCGGCGGACGGGUGAGUAAUGCCUAGGAAUCUGCCUGUUAGUGGGGGAUAACGUCCAGAAACGGGCGCUAAUACCGCAUACGUCCUGAUGGAGUAAGGUGGGGAUCUUCGGACCUCACGCUAUCAGAUGAGCCUAGGUCGGGUUAGCUAGUUGGUGGGGUAAAGGCCGACCACGGCGACGAUCCGUAACUGGUCUGAGAGGAUGAUCAGUCAAACUGGAAGUGAGACAAGGUCCAGACCCCUACGGGAGGCAGCAGUGGGGAAUAUUGGACUAUGGGAGAAAGCCUGCUCCAGCCAUGCCGCGUGUGUGAAGAAGGUAUUCGGAUUGUAAAGCACUUUAAGUUGGGAGGAAGGGCAGUAAGUUAAUACCUUGCUGUUUUGACGUUACCAAAAGAAUAAGCACCGGCUAACUUCGUG